rnacentral:rRNA from 1 species
UACGUAGGGGGCUAGCGUUGUCCGGAUUUAUUGGGCGUAAAGAGCGCGUAGGCGGCCUGGCAGGUCUGGUGUGAAAACUCGAGGCUUAACCUCGAGAUGUCAUCGGAAACCAUCUGGCUAGAGUCCGGAAGAGGAGAGUGGAAUUCCUGGUGUAGCGGUGAAAUGCGCAGAUAUCAGGAAGAACACCAAUGGCGAAGGCAGCUCUCUGGGACGGUACUGACGCUGAGACGCGAAAGCGUGGGGAGCGAACAGG